rnacentral:rRNA from 1 species
GAUGAACGCUGGCGGCGUGCCUAAUACAUGCAAGUCGAGCGAACGGACGAGAAGCUUGCUUCUCUGAUGUUAGCGGCGGACGGGUGAGUAACACGUGGAUAACCUACCUAUAAGACUGGGAUAACUUCGGGAAACCGGAGCUAAUACCGGAUAAUAUUAUGAACCGCAUGGUUCAAAAGUGAAAGACGGUCUUGCUGUCACUUAUAGAUGGAUCCGCGCUGCAUUAGCUAGUUGGUAAGGUAACGGCUUACCAAGGCAACGAUGCAUAGCCGACCUGAGAGGGUGAUCGGCCACACUGGAACUGAGACACGGUCCAGACUCCUACGGGAGGCAGCAGUAGGGAAUCUUCCGCAAUGGGCGAAAGCCUGACGGAGCGACGCCGCGUGAGUGAUGAAGGUCUUCGGAUCGUAAAACUCUGUUAUUAGGGAAGAACAUAUGUGUAAGUAACUGUGCACAUCUUGACGGUACCUAAUCAGAAAGCCACGGCUAACUACGUG